rnacentral:rRNA from 1 species
UACGGAGGGUGCGAGCGUUGUUCGGAAUCACUGGGCGUAAAGCGCGUGUAGGCGGCUUGUUAAGUCUGAUGUGAAAGCCCGGGGCUCACCCCCGGAAGUGCAUUGGAAACUGGCUCGCUCGAGUCUCGGAGAGGAGAGUGGAAUUCCUGGUGUAGCGGUGAAAUGCGUAGAUAUCAGGAGGAACACCGGUGGCGAAGGCGGCUCUCUGGACGAUGACUGACGCUGAGACGCGAAAGCGUGGGGAGCAAACAGG